CACUUCCAGGGAUGGGGCAGUCACAGCUUCUCUGGGCAACCUGUGCCAGGGCCUCACCAUCCCCAUAGGGAAGGAUUUCUUCCCAAUACCCCAUCUAACCCCACCCUCUGGCAAUGGGAAGCCAGUCCCCUUUGUCCUGUCACUCCAGGGCCUUGUCCAUUGUAGGGUGUGAAUG